GCAAACAUUACGGUAGAAAUAAUAUAAAGUAGUUUUGAAUGAGUGAUAAUAUAAUAAGUAAUUCAAAAAUAAUUUCUCAUCGUAAAAUAUUGUAUAGGAAAGAUAUAAUGAAUUUAUAUUAUGAUAAAUUCAGUUAUUUAGAUAUAUUUCUGGCAUAAUUUUAUUAGACGGAAGCAGUGUUGCCUCGUAGCGUCAAUACAAUCGCAGAUCCAUUUCCUUUGGGUUUCGUAUUCAUAUAGGAACAACAUGUCUACCAACAAGAAGAAGACUAGGAAGCUGAGAGGACAUGUCAGCCA